AUGUGGCUGCCUCCCCCGACUGGCAUCGUCAAGGUGAACGUGGAUGGGGCACUAGCUAGGUCCCGCCGUGGAGGAGCGGUCGCAGCAGUGUGCAGAGAUGAGACAGGCCUAUAUCUUGGAUCAUCGGCUAUCGUUAUCCAAGGUAUAAAUGACCCCGUGGCCUUGGAGACCUAUGCGUGUCGUGAAGCCUUAUCUUUGGCGGAUGAUCUUGCAGUACAGUCUAUAUGCGUUGCCUCGGAUUGCCAGGGAGUCGUGACUAAUAUUGAAAAAGGAACCGCAGGCCCAUUGAUCCCGAUUCAUGUCUGGAACCGGAACCAAAGGGGUCAGACGAACCGGGACCAAUGGCCCACGAGGCCUGGCUGGCCCCCUGGCCUCACGAACCGGGACCGAUGCCCCCAUGGGUCCCGGUUCGUGAGUAAACCGGGAUUAAUGGGUUUACCCAGCCUGGACCAAAGCCCUGUUUUCUACUAG
rnacentral:rRNA from 1 species